CUUCACCGACCCCAGCCACAACGGCCGGUCGCCCUCGCGCCCCUGGCCGUAGGUGGCCAGCAGCGCCUGUGCCUC
rfam:Streptomyces albus subsp. albus strain NRRL B-2513 B2513contig6884.1, whole genome shotgun sequence.